rnacentral:rRNA from 1 species
GUAGGGUGCAAGCGUUAAUCGGAAUUACUGGGCGUAAAGCGUGCGCAGGCGGUUAUGCAAGACAGAGGUGAAAUCCCCGGGCUCAACCUGGGAACUGCCUUUGUGACUGCAUGGCUAGAGUACGGUAGAGGGGGAUGGAAUUCCGCGUGUAGCAGUGAAAUGCGUAGAUAUGCGGAGGAACACCGAUGGCGAAGGCAAUCCCCUGGACCUGUACUGACGCUCAUGCACGAGAGCGUGGGGAGCAAACAGGAUUAGAUACCCUGGUAGUCCCACGCCCUAAACGAUGUCAACUGGUUGUUGGGAGGGUUUCUUCUCAGUAACGUAGCUAACGCGUGAAGUUGACCGCCUGGGAGUACGGCCGCAAGGUUG